GCUUUGGUAACUCAAAGGUAGAGUAACAAAUUGAAAAUUUGUCAGUAUUGGUUCAAUUCCAAUCCAAGGCG